ensembl:lncRNA
CAAGGAGUUAAUUCCAAAUGAUGAAGCAAUCCAGCCCAGAAAGCAGCUAAGAUUGAGCUUAUGUCAACAGGUAGAAUUUACAGUCUCACAAAAAGAAAUGUUUAACAGUCAACUAUUUAGUUGCAAUAAAUUAGACUUUCACUAUGUUGUUCUUAUCACAGAGAUCUAUAGAUGAAAAGCAGUAUAUAGUAGCUAAUUAUUAAUUUUAUUUAUUACCACAGGCAGGAUUUUCUAGUAGCAUUCUGUUCCUUAAUGUGAAACUAGGGAUCAGAACUUUAUGAUGACCUGAAGCUGGUUUCUUAACAGUUUCGAUUUCCUGCUCUUCACAGUCACCAUAAAUCUUGUUCUCCUCCUCAAAGCUUCAGAUGUUUCUAACUUCUUAUCUAUCAGCCUCUAAAGUGCUUCCAGACUCCCACAAACGUUUUAGCUGACUCCAAAGGCUUGUCUGCCACUCUUCUAAGUGUCAGGCCAUAUAUCUGUUUUGGGGGAGUUCCUCAUUGAAAAAGGCAUACUAUGCAAAACACAUAGGCAGGGAGGACCCAGAGGCACCCCAGCCUCACUUAUAUUUCAAGUCUGAACCCAUGCUGUCAUUCAAACUUGCCUAGAAUGCAAACUGCCUGAACAAGCCUUUGCUUAAGCUCACCAAGCUGAAGGUAGCAGCACUACAGCAACUCCUCUGUGAUUGCAGUUGCAAGGGUGAGUGAGGCCAUGGCCCAGGUUCUAUCCUAUAAUGCUUUGUGGAGGCAUUACAUGACUGGUCUCAACACGAAUACAUGAACCUCAGAUCAUGUACCACACCGGGAUUCAUCCAGCACUUUGAGAGCAGACACCAGCAGCCAAGCAUUGGUGAUGGAUGUAAUCAGAACAUAUUUCAUUCCAUGGCACUCACGGUAAGGAGUUUCCUUCAUCUGCACAUGCCAUCUAUAGUGACGAUGCUCCUUUCCAGGUUGGAAACAGCUAGUACAAGCAACAAAACAAGUGGCUCAGUGUGAUGUAGCUGUCUAGAGAAGUGCCUUGUUGCACAUACCUCAGAGCAGUUUCACACCAGCUCAAUUUUGAGGGAGCUCCAUAUUCUCCAGGAAGACUUUGGCACGCAGUAGAUUCCCAGACUUCAUCUCUUCGUCUCAAAAUAAAAGCAUUGUGCUAGGAAUGGAAAUAUUUAGUUAUUUUCCUGUCAGUGCUGUAUAUUGUCAUUUUGUCUAUUUUUGACUAUGGUAUUUUUUUUUCUUUUCCCUGCAUCACCCUAAUGCCAAUGAAACUCAUUAUUUCCAAGUGUUUAGAGUCCC